AAAUACUCCUGACUGACCGAUAGUGAACCAGUACCGUGAGGGAAAGGCGAAAAGAACCCCGGCGAGGGGAGUGAAAAAGAACCUGAAACCGUGUACGUACAAGCAGUGGGAGCACAGAGCAAUCUGUGUGACUGCGUACCUUUUGUAUAAUGGGUCAGCGACUUAUAUUCUGUAGCAAGGUUAACCGAAUAGGGGAGCCGAAGGGAAACCGAGUCUUAACUGGGCGUUAAGUUGCAGGGUAUAGACCCGAAACCCGGUGAUCUAGCCAUGGGCAGGUUGAAGGUUGGGUAACACUAACUGGAGGACCGAACCGACUAAUGUUGAAAAAUUAGCGGAUGACUUGUGGCUGGGGGUGAAAGGCCAAUCAAACCGGGAGAUAGCUGGUUCUCCCCGAAAGCUAUUUAGGUAGCGCCUCGUGAAUUCAUCUCCGGGGGUAGAGCACUGUUUCGGCAAGGGGGUCAUCCCGACUUACCAACCCGAUGCAAACUGCGAAUACCGGAGAAUGUUAUCACGGGAGACACACGGCGGGUGCUAACGUCCGUCGUGAAGAGGGAAACAACCCAGACCGCCAGCUAAGGUCCCAAAGUCAUGGUUAAGUGGGAAACGAUGUGGGAAGGCCCAGACAGCCAGGAUGUUGGCUUAGAAGCAGCCAUCAUUUAAAGAAAGCGUAAUAGCUCACUGGUCGAGUCGGCCUGCGCGGAAGAUGUAACGGGGCUAAACCAUGCACCGAAGCUGCGGCAGCGACACUGUGUGUUGUUGGGUAGGGGAGCGU
rnacentral:rRNA from 1 species